UCAUCAGGUCGGAUAAUCCUUCCCUAUUCCUCCUUUUGGAACACAGAUUGGAAUAUGAUGAUGGUUCACAUGACUUGCAAUUAGCAUUUCUGCAUAACCAGGACUUGCAACACCCAGAUUGUUCCUGAU